CAAGGGAAAACUGGGAUCUUAUGCUGUUGCUGAGGCAGGGGUUCUUAACCAGGGUCUCUGCAUAACCUAAUAUUCCAUACCAAAUUGUGCGUUUAUAUUCAUUUUUUCUGAGGUGAUCCAUUACUUUCACCUAGUUCUCAAAACACUGCACACCAAGCCACUCUGCUGCUCCUUGUCUAAUGUGGUUUUAAUUUUAUACCAGUAUGCUUUGUCAGUAUCUUGGGUCCACAGUAUGUAUGGCAUUCCAACAUAGUUAAAGCUUUAACAAGGUCUUUGCUGAGUUAAAUAUUUUGGUGCUAGUGUGGAGCCAGGAGUUUAUGAUAGGAAAAUGACUAAAAUGGUCAUAGCCCCCUGCUCUUAAAGGGGUUUAUAUUCUAGACUCUAGAGAAUCUGGAUGACAACAACAAGCUUCUAGUGUUAAUGGAUUAAAUUCUGACCUGGGUGCAUUCAGGGCUUUCUCUCCUUGGAGGAGUUUACUCAAGUAGUUUUGAUUUGAAAGAGGCAUGAUUGUUGCAGACUUAACUCUUGAUGAUAUUAAACAAGCUUGGCAUACAGCUACUUUCAGGAUAUAACUAAGGCCCAGAAUUAACAUACUACUUACUGUUAAGUAUUUAAUAACCAAGGAUGAAUCUGGAACCUUAGGAAGCAUUUGGAAUACUAUUCAGCUGGAAUUGAGUAAGCAUCAUUGGUUCAUCACUAUGACGAGGUGAUCGGUUUUCUUGUAUAUGCAAAAUGAGGGAGUCGAACUGUGUCAGAAGAUAUGAGAAUUGGUAGAGCAAAAAUUUAUAGACAAUGUGUAUUUAUCAUGCUGAGCUCCAAGGAUUGCAGCACUGUCUCAAAUAACUCAGCAGUUGCUUUGCUUCUAAGUACUUUGUUGUCCUUAAAAUGUUCAGCAUGAAACAGCCAAUUUAAAACAUCCUAUAGAAAAACUCAGCUAGUAAAUUUUCUCUUCAGGGGAUUCUUUUUAUUUUUUGAGGUGUGUAUUGAAACAUCCUGAGCCGUCCAUUUUCUGAAGGACGGCAGGGGAAUGCUCAUUUCCUCUUAAUUGUUAGUCUCAGCAUAUUUCUCUAAAGGGAUAGGUUUAACAAGGCUUCCAUGUAAGUGGAUCUUCAAAAAAGAAGCCUGCCAGAGAGAUCUUGGUCUCCUCAGUGUUGAUGUGGCAGUUUGAAGAAUCUGAGCAAAUGGCCCGUCAUUGGUCACUUGGUUCUCCAGUAUGAGUCUCAAGCCGCACUAAUGUGUAAGAACCAUUAACUGUACCAGAGAGGCUUCCUGGUACAGUAGGAAGAGCACUGGACUGGGAGCUUUAUCUGCAUCAUCUUGGACAAGUUAUUAUUUCACUUUUCUGAGCCUCAGGUUCCUUGUUCAUCCCAAACAUUUGUUAAGUAUCUGGUAGGUGCCUAAUACUAUGCGUGGGAAGUUACAAAAAUGGUUCUUGAAGAGCUCACAACCUAAUGAGAAAGACAAUUCUAAAAUGAUGUGGUAAGUUCUUAGGUAGAGAAAAUUACAUGGUGCUCUGGGAAAAGAGGAGGGAGUGAGGGGUUGACAUCAAGAGAAAGUUUUUUGAAAGAGAUGAAUCUAAUAUAAUAUUUUAGAUUAAAUCUUGUAGGAGAGUCCCUCAGGUAGACAAAAAAGGCAAUAAUGUAGUCUAAUGAUUCAAAGCCUAGAUUUUGGAGAUCGGUAUUCCUGAAUUCACGUGUAGAAGCUGCCACUUACUAGCUCUAUGUCCUUAGACUGAUAGUUUUUUGUUCCCUAAAUCUGUUUUCCCAAAUGUAAAAUGGGAAGAUCUGCC